rnacentral:rRNA from 1 species
AGAGUUUGAUCCUGGCUCAGGACGAACGCUGGCGGUGUGCCUCACACAUGCAAGUCGAACGGGGUAGCAAUACCCAGUGGCGGACGGGUGAGUAACACGUGGGAAUCUGCCUUCAAGAGGGGGAUAGCAGCUCGAAAGGGCUAUUAAUACCGCAUACGCAGAAAUGUAAAAGGAGCAAUCCGCUUGAAGAUGAGCCCGCGCCCGAUUAGCUAGUUGGUAGGGUAAAGGCCUACCAAGACUACGAUCGGUAGCUGGUCUGAGAGGAUGAUCAGCCACAAUGGAACUGAGACACGGUCCAUACUCCUACGGGAGGCAGCAGUGGGGAAUUUUACACAAUGGGGGAAACCCUGAUGUAGCGACACCGCGUGAGUGAAGAAGCCCCUUGGGGUGUAAAACUCUGUCGGCAGGGACGAAAAAAAUGACGGUACCUGCAAAGGAAGCAUCGGCUAACUACGUGCCAGCAGCCGCGGUAAGACGUAGGAUGCAAGCGUUGUCCGGAUUUAUUGAGCGUAAAGAGUUCGUAGGUGGUUUGUUAAGUCUGGUGUUAAAGACUGGGGCUCAACCUCGGGAGUGCAUUGGAUACUGGCAGACUGGAGUGUAGUAGAGGCAAGCGGAAUUCCCAGUGUAGCGGUGAAAUGCGUAGAUAUUGGGAAGAACACCGGUGGCGUAAGCGGCUUGCUGGGCUAUAACUGACGCUGAGGAACGAAAGCUAGGGGAGCAAAUGGGAUUAGAUACCCCCGUAGUCC